rnacentral:rRNA from 1 species
GUUGAGAGUUUGAUCAUGGCUCAGAAUGAACGCUGGCGGCAUGCCUAACACAUGCAAGUCGAACGAAGGCUCCGGCCUUAGUGGCGCACGGGUGCGUAACGCGUGGGAAUCUGCCCCUUGGUUCGGAAUAACAGCGAGAAAUUGCUGCUAAUACCGGAUGAUGACGUAAGUCCAAAGAUUUAUCGCCGAGGGAUGAGCCCGCGUAGGAUUAGCUAGUUGGUGUGGUAAAGGCGCACCAAGGCGACGAUCCUUAGCUGGUCUGAGAGGAUGAUCAGCCACACUGGGACUGAGAUACGGCCCAGACUCCUACGGGAGGCAGCAGUGGGGAAUAUUGGACAAUGGGCGAAAGCCUGAUCCAGCAAUGCCGCGUGAGUGAUGAAGGCCUUAGGGUUGUAAAGCUCUUUUACCCGGGAUGAUAAUGACAGUACCGGGAGAAUAAGCUCCGGCUAACUCCGUGCCAGCAGCCGCGGUAAUACGGAGGGAGCUAGCGUUAUUCGGAAUUACUGGGCGUAAAGCGCACGUAGGCGGCUUUGUAAGUAAGAGGUGAAAGCCUGGUGCUCAACACCAGAACUGCCUUUUAGACUGCAUCGCUUGAAUCCAGGAGAGGUGAGUGGAAUUCCGAGUGUAGAGGUGAAAUUCGUAGAUAUUCGGAGGAACACCAGUGGCGAAGGC